GCAAACAAACAAUUUGACCCAGUGAAGGCUGAGAGAGCAGAGUUUUUUACUGCUCAAUACACACUUUGAUACUCUUGAGCAUUGAAUUCUUAUUUUUGACAUUUCUAUCAAUUUUCAUCUAUUGGAUGUUAGAGCUUGGAGCCAACACAGACUACCCGAUGGACUAUCAGACAACUUCACCAAACCAAAGCUUGGAGCCAACACAGACUACCCGAUAGACUAACAGACAACUUCACCAAACAAAAUUCCACCAAGCAGCGGCCCCAGUCACAGAACCGGACUGGCACAGGUACAGCGGAGAGACCCAACGAGGUGGCUAAGCAUAACAAAAUGAUGAUGGGACAAAGCAAAGGGAAAUGUCCCAAAAUGCAAUCCCACUCUGAAGCCACCUCAAACAACAGAGUCUCUUCCGCUGUCCGUCCAGUCCGCGAGCACACCCUCACAGCGCACUUUGCAGCUUGAAUUCCAUCACGCCCUCAAUUCGGCCACGUUAAGUCCCCACACCAUCACUCCCGAGCGCAGGCGACCGAGUGUACCCACCGGCACGCAGCCUCGACCGAACAAGAUGAUAUUCAAAAUAAACAGACACGAUCCUACUGGGCAUAAAGUUAGGGAUUGGACUAUUUGUUCCACCAAGCCCGUAGUGAUCAUCGGUGACUCAAACUUGAGUCGGAUCCCUCCCCACACACACAGACAUCCAAAUUGACAGUUAUCCUGGUGCCAAAUUCCAACACAUCACACAGAUUCUAGAUAAAAAUCCCCCCAAUACACACACCAAGAUUGUGGUGCUCUCUCUGGGCAUCAACCACAGGGAGAACCUGUUCGAGUCGGUAACGGGCUCUCUCCAGGCACUGCACCGCAAAACCGUAGAAAAAUACCCGCAGGCCACAAUCUAUGUCCCCAUCAUUAAUUUCUCCAAACACUUAGCAGCACCACAUCAGACACUACUAACAAAACUUAAUGCAUUCAUCACCACUAAAUACAAUACACUAUUUGAAAUACACCACUCCGAAUUCUACACAGCUCACGACGACAUACAUUGGACAUCCAACACUGCAUCACACAUAUUACAACACUGGCUGUCUCAGUUAAACUUCGGGCGGGGGCUAAGUCCCAACAGGGACACCCCCGGCCCCAGGAAUCUAACAUUCUAAAUCUAUCAACCAUCUUUCAUCUGUCAGAAAUGGAGACUCAGCUGCUGCAGAGGGGCCUCAGCUUCAUCCCCACCCCCCAUACCUCAGACAAAUUAGAAUUCCUCAGGGAUGUCCAUAAAUACAACAGGUCAUUAAAAUUAAUAGAACAUUUCCAUGACCGUCCCGGUGGGCCCAUUCCACCAUUUCAGGGACCGUCCAGUUGGGUACCACCGCCGGGCGUCUUGUCGGGGAACCUCACCACACUCCUCCGUUGCAAUAAAUACAUAGCCACACAUAACCACUCAACCAACACCUUAGAAACACCCAACAUUACUGAACAAGAAUAUACGGCACUUAGACACCUGCGUAAUUACAAACACAUAGUCAUUAAACCUGCAGACAAAGGAUCCAAAAUAGUCAUCUUAGACACACAACAAUACCUCUUAGAAGCACACAGACAGUUAGGGAACACAUUACAUUACAGACCCAUACAGGAUUCACUCCAAUUGGCCACACAUCAAAUUCGGAAUAUAUUUACUGACCUCCACAAACUUAAAUACAUUACACAUAGACAGAAAAUAUAUCUAGAUGGUCCAGACACUCCACGCGAACGCCUCUUUUACCUUCUGCCAAAGAUCCACAAGGCGCCCGAGUCCUGGACGGUCCCCUUCUUAGUGCCGCCGGGACGGCCAAUCAUUUCCGAUUGUGGUAGCGAGUCCUCUGCAGCAGCUGAGUUUAUUGAAUACUACCUCAACCCCAUCUCCCGGAAACACCCCAGCUACAUCAAAGAUACCCAUCACUUCAUCCAAAAACUCAAUAACACACCGGUUUCCACAAGCGUUUUUAUUUUCAAUUGAUAUAGAUUCCCUAUACACCAAUAUCGACAUAGAUUGCGGCCUGCGGGCUGUCCGCUCUGCACUCCUCCGGUACCCAGACCCCGACAGGCCCGACAUUCACCUGUUGGAACUCCUAGAAAUAAAUCUGCGCAGGAAUGACUUCGUCUUUAAUGAUAAGCAUUACCUCCAGACGCACGGGACAGCAAUGGGCAAGAAGUUCGCACCCAGCUAUGCGAACAUCUACAUGGCUGGGUUCGAACAUUCUGCUUUGCAGUCUUGCCCAUUGCUGCCACAGGUGUACUGUCGGUUCCUGGAUGACAUCUUCGGGGUCUGGCCACAUAGUUUAGAUCACUUCCUACAAUUCAUACACAUAUUCAAUACACACCACCCUACAAUUAAGGUUAAAUAUACACAACAUGCACAACACAUAGAUUUUCUAGAUACAACUGUUUUUUUCCCACACACAAACGCACCACAAACAGUCCUGCACACAAAAGUUUAUUUCAAACCCACCGACACACACGCACUCCUCCAUAAAAGCAGUUUUCACCCCAAACACACAUUCGCGGGUAUUAUUAAAUCACAAAUCAUCCGGUUUCACAGACUCUGCACAGAGGAGACGGACAUGCGGGGGGCGACCAGGAGAGGGUCCUGAGGGGCAGGGGGUACACCAAGCGGUUUUUGCGUUCCAUCUUGUCCAGCACAUUGGCGGAGCUCGGGCGACGGGCCCCCUCGGGGUCCUCCUCCCCGUCUGGGUCCUCGUCCCUGGGCGCUGCCGGUGUGUUGGACUCUCCCGCCUCCCCCUGCCCUAAACCUAACCCCGCCUCCCCUUACCCUAACCCUAACCCCGCCUUUCCUUGCCCUGACCCUAACCCUAACCCCAACCCCAACCCACUAUCCCUCCGCGCGCCGUCUCCUCUUCACCAUUCACCCCGUCUCACCCUAGCCAUUUCUCCACCACGUUACAUUCUAGUCAGCGCACAAUCACCACGUCUCACCAUAACCCCUCGUCACCCCCUCCGUUUCACUUUAACCCGCCUGCGGCUCCCACUGUGGGCCCCCACCAUCUCCCUGACCCUAACCAGCCCCCCUCCUCUAUGCCUCACCUUGGCCGGCUCCCUCAUACUGGAGGGACGGACCUGGUGUCCGCCCCUAUCCUCCACAGCCCGGCUGAGGUGGGGCCUCCACUAGGAGUGCCUGGAUCCCUGAGUCAGGUGGUCUUCCCAAACAGGUUCCCUGAGGGGACCCCUGCCAUCAGGAGCGGAGACGUUAAAGGGCGGCAGCCACACACACGCAUCAUACCCCUCAUCAGCACAUAUACACAAAACAUCAGACACAUACACUCCAAACUGAAAAACGCAUUCACACACGCACAACACAACAUUCCCGCACUUCAAAAUCACAAAAUCAUUUCAGCUUUUAGGAAAAACCGGAACCCUGGUGCAGGCCCGCUUCUCCACGGACACUGGAGGCGCCCCCUCUCAACACCGAGGCCAUUUCCAGCAGUUGGCGGUUAUCUGCAACCAGCUCGCCUCCACCUCCAGCCCUAUCACACAAAAACUUACUAUCCUGGACAAAAACAUCAUUUACGCCAUUACAUGCUCCGAAUGCCACAUCAUCUAUGUCGGCGAAACAAAGCACACCAUAUUAAACAGACUAAAACAACAUUUAUAUACAAUACACAUAGGCACACUCAACACUCAAAUAGUCAAACAUUUCCAAACACACCCCAUUACCUCAUUAUUCAUCACCGGGCUGGAGAUGAAGGCGUGCUGGUCGGACAGACAGAGGAAGGCAGCGGAGCACAGAUGGAUAUCCAAACUUAGGACCGUUACCCCCUUGGGCCUUAACAUCAGGGAGUAGGGUCCGCGCUUGUCCAUUGCUGGGGGGGCUGGGUUGUCUCGGGAUUCCUCCCCGGGUUUUCUUCUAGCGCGGCAUCGGGUCGACUGUGCGUUUUAAUGUGUUGCAUGUUUUUACCCCUCCCGUGUGCUCUCUUUUCUAAUAUUUUAUUCCCCUGGUGUCUUCUUUUACACAAUAGUAUGACCUUUGCAGCUUGCUCCUCUUUUUCCCUUUAUAUAUUUUUUAUACAUAUAUUUUUCA
ensembl:lncRNA